rnacentral:lncRNA from 1 species
CCAUUUAGAUCAAAUUUCACGGUCGGACGGUGUUCUUUAACACGUUGACGGACACCGACGGGCAUUCCCGUCUUUGCCUAAAACGCGUCAGUGGGCACUUUGAAAAUUGGACGGGUGAUCCCGUUUUCCACUUAUUUAUGCUUAUCGACGUGGUUUCCCGUCGUAUUUUCACAUAAAUGUAUUAGUAGCGUCCUACUAGACAUGCAAAUUUUUUUGAAAGAAGUUGAUUGGUUUGCUAUUUUUGGCGAAAUCCGUUUGUGAUCGUGAGUGAAUUUGCUCCCACCUCGCCGCGUAAUUAGGUGGGAAUUCUGAGCGGUAACUUAUGCACAUGCACGCGGUUUAUUAUUAUCGGUCAAACUGGGAUAUUGUUUUUCUUUCUUGCGGUGUGUUUUCGUGUGGUAGGUAAUAUCUUCACUAUACUACAUUACUAUAUAUUAUCUUCACUACACUUCUAUCUCACGUUUUUUUGUGUAUGCAAAGUCUACUGGUGGAAAUAUUGUGCUAUAUUUGUACGUUGUUUGGAUUGAAAUUAUUUGUGUUUUUUGGUGUAAGUACCAGAGCGUGUGCAUUCCAUAGAAAUAGACGAAAAACUCAAAAAACAACUUCUGGAGUGGUACGACGAAAUUCCUAGUGAUGACGAUAAUUACCUUGAUGACGGAGAUGACAAUAAUUCAAAUUUAUCAAGGGAUAAAUUUAAGUAGAGGGAGAGUUUUAGUGAAGACGAUGAUGAGUCUGUUCGGGAUCCAAAUUAUGAGUUGAGUGAUUCGGACUCGGAAGCGAACGUAGUGAGGGACGGUCACCUGGAUGUUUUGGAGGCCGAUGCAUUGUCGGAUAAAUGAGGCCUUGAGAAAUCACAAUCCGUCAAAUCAAGAUAGUGAUGACGACCGUAGAACCGCAGAAACUCAAGAUGACAGUGAGGGUAUAGGGGACGAUAAAGAAUGGAGUGGUACUGUAAAAGAAAAUAUUGAUUUUAUGUUCGAUAAUAGUCAAUCUGCGCCAAAGCAGUCAUUGGAUGAUUUUGAUCCCUUUCAGACUUUUCAGGUAUUGUGGUCUGAAGAAAUUUGGAACUUACUAUUGGAAAAAACUAAUGAAUAUGGUAUAAAGUUAUUUGAUGCAAAUAGACCUAAAAGAAGGUACGAGCGUUUUAAAUCUUUUAGAGAAAUUACUUUAGUGGAACUAAAGAAGUUUUUUGGGCUUUGUUUAUUGGCUGCGCACGUAAAAUGCCGAGAAAUUAGACACAUGUUUUCCUAUGACCCUAUGUAUUAUUAUCAUCCUAUAUUUCCCGCCACAAUGUCUGGACGUAGAUUUGAGCAAAUACUUCGGUGUUUGAACUGUGAAAAAAAAAUAAUGAAGAGCAAAAUAAUAAUUUAUAUAAAAUAAGCGCUCUCGUAGAGCUUUUUAUAAAAAAUUCACAAAACGCUUUCUAUCCCCAAGAAGCUUUGUCACUAGACGAAUCGCUUUUAUUAUUUCGCGGAAGACUGAAAUUUCGUGUAUAUAUCAAGAAUAAAAAAUCUUGAUAUGGAAUCAAAUUUUAUGAGCUUUGUAGCAGUGAUGGAUAUGUACUAAAUUUAGAAAUUUAUAGAGGAAAAACAGGAGAUGAUGAUGCACGAACGGAACCAAAAAUUACUGCUUUGGUGAAACGUCUCAUGAUGCCUUACCUAAAUAAAGGCCACCAUUUAUACAUGGAUAAUUUUUAUUACAGUGUAGCUCUUUCUGAAGAGUUACUUACAGACUUCAAAACGCACACUACUGGGACUUGACGAAGUAAUAAACGUGGAAAUCCGAAACACAUCAUCGGCAAAAAAAUAAAAAAAGGAGAACACAUUUGGAGUCGCAAAGGUGAUGUGUAUGUGUCUAAGUGGAAGGAUAAACGGGAGGUUCUUGCACUUACGACUGGCUUUUUUUUUUAUGGUAAGCACAAGAGGAAAGUCCUAUGUCACUCUUGGAGUGGUGCUUGCGCGAAGAUAUUUGUGGGCAUUUAUCUUGAAUCGCUGUAGGUUGUAUGCGUCGGGAAAUAUGUGAGGUGGAAGCCCGUUCCACAAAGAAGAUGUUCUCCAGAUGAAUGAGUCCCGAUACAGCGACGUCCUUGGGGUAGGCAGGUGGACUCGAUGUUGAUGAGCCGCAACUGCCGAAAAUGUUGAUGAGCUCCAACGCGUCCUUCUUGCCGGAACAGCCCUGGGUGGGAUCAGACCUGCCAGCUCAGAGGAGCACUUACCGUGAUAAUAACGGUAGAAUAAACAGAGAUCAGCCCCCUUUCUCCUGUGCUCCAGACUAUCCAGACUAUUUGUCAGUUCUGGUUUGUUGAUAAGACGAAUUGCUCUCUUCUGUAUAGAAUCUAGCAGCUUUAAACUAUGCUUGGGUGCAGAGCUCCAGACAUGCGAGCAAUACUCGAGGGAAGGGCGUAUUUGAGCCUUAUAAAAAGUCAGCAGCUGUUCUGGUGUAUACAGUUUUUUCGUUUUGAAAAGCACUCCGAGUUUUUUGGAAGCUGCCCUGGCGAUCUCGGCAACGUGGUCAUGCCAGGACACACUGUUGGUGACUUCGACUCCUAGAAGAUGUAACGAUGAUUUCAUUGGCAAUGUUUUCCCUGCCAUAACUAGCUCCGGGCCACCAAGGUUAGUCUUCAUCGUAAAUACUGCAGCCUGCGUUUUUUUAGCGUUAAAAUUGACCAGAUUGUUAUCGCCCCACUCCAAGAUUGCUCUAAUAUCGUUGUUCGUUGAAGCUACUUGUUGCUGCCUAAGAUUCCGAGAAGUUGCGGCUGUCGUUGGUUUGGCGGACUUAAAUGUGGAAAUAAGUGUGCUAUCGUCCGCAAGGCUGUAGAUUGGAUUGACAGUGGUUCCUAACAAAUCAUUGAUAUAUAUCAAGAAAAGGGUGGGGGAUAGAAUGCAUCCUUGAGGGACUCCAGCGUUAAUGUUAAAUUUGUCGGAGAGGUGUCCAUCGACGGCUACUUGGAUUGUUCGUUGUUCAAGAAAACUUUUGAUCCAAUUCAAUAAUGAGUUUUGUAUGCCGAUUGAGAAGAGCUUGGUUAGUAGUCCCUCAUGCCACACUCUGUCAAAUUCCUUGGAAAUGUCAAGAGCG